AACGCACAUUGCGCCCGCCAGUAUUCUGGCGGGCAUGCCUGUUCGAGCGUCAUUUCAACCCUCAAGCCCUCGGGUUUGGUGUUGGGGAUCGGCGAGUCUUAGGACGAGCCGGCCCCGAAAUCUAGUGGCGGUCUCGCUGCAGCCUCCAUUGCGUAGUAGCUAACACCUCGCAACUGGAACGCGGCGCGGCCAAGCCGUUAAACCCCCAACUUCUGAAUGUUGACCUCGGAUCAGGUAGGAAUACCCGCUGAACUUAA
rnacentral:misc_RNA from 1 species